GGAUAAGUUCAGUUGGUUAGAGUGUGGUGCAAAUAAUGCCAAGGUUGCAGGUUUGAUCCCCGUAAGGGACA